CAGUUAGUAGCAGUUUGUGCAGUUGAUGCACACAGUGUAUUUCCAGUUGCCUACGGUGUGCUGGAGACACAGUCAGAGGAGAGCUGGACUUGGUUUUUGCAUAAUCUGCGCCGGGCUAUUGCACAUCCCAAUGGGUUGGUCAUUCAUACAGAUGCCUGCAAAGGUUUAGAAGUGGCCGUGGACAAUGUGUUCCCUAGAGUAGAGCAUAGGGAAUGCAUGCGUCACCUUGAUGUAAAUUUCAUGAAGAAAUUCAAAGGAAGGGUGUAUACCGACAAUUUAUGGCCAGCAUCUUUGACUUGUAGUGUGAAGAAGCACAACUACCACUUGAGGCAGUUAUACAUGAAUCCCAAAGUGAAAGAAUACUUGGAAACACAA
rnacentral:rRNA from 1 species